rnacentral:sRNA from 1 species
AUACAAAGGUCGAAAAGUUAUGCUUUUCAUGCUUGCAUGAAAAAGCAUGAUCUUGAGACCUGAACAAGAAUGAAGAAGCAGCCGUUUUUCUUAGAAAAACGUGCGAUUCUGAAUUCUUGGAGUAUUGCGGGAGUGCGCAGCACGAAGCAAUACGUAGUAU